rnacentral:rRNA from 1 species
UGGGGAAUAUUGCACAAUGGGCGCAAGCCUGAUGCAGCCAUGCCGCGUGUAUGAAGAAGGCCUUCGGGUUGUAAAGUACUUUCAGCGGGGAGGAAGGUGUUGUGGUUAAUAACCUCAGCAAUUGACGUUACCCGCAGAAGAAGCACCGGCUAACUCCGUGCCAGCAGCCGCGGUAAUACGGAGGGUGCAAGCGUUAAUCGGAAUUACUGGGCGUAAAGCGCACGCAGGCGGUCUGUCAAGUCGGAUGGGAAAUCCCCGGGCUCAACCUGGGAACUGCAUCAGAAACUGGCAGGCUUGAGUCUUGUAGAGGGGGGUAGAAUUCCAGGUGUAGCGGUGAAAUGCGUAGAGAUCUGGAGGAAUACCGGUGGCGAAGGCGGCCCCCUGGACAAAGACUGACGCUCAGGUGCGAAAGCGUGGGGAGCAAACA